GAUGAACGCUGGCGGCGUGCCUAAUACAUGCAAGUCGAGCGAACGGACGAGAAGCUUGUUUUUCUGAUGUUAGCGGCGGACGGGAGAGUAACACGUGGAUAACCUACCUAUAAGACGGGGAUAACUUCGGGACACCGGAGAUUAUACCGGAGAAUCUUUUGCACCGCAGGGGUGAAAAGAGGAAGACGGUGUUGCUGUAUGUACUCGCUGGUUCCGCGCUGCUUUAGCUAGUUGGUAAGGUAACGGGUUACCCAGGCAACGAUGCAUAGCCGACCUGAGAGGCUGCUCGGCCACACUGGAACUGAGCCGCGGUCCAGACGCCUACGGGAGGCACCAGUAGGGAAUCUUCCGCAGUGGGCGAGAGCCUGACGGAGCGACGCCGCGUCAGUUAUAGAGGUCUUCGGAUCGUAAAACUCUGUUAUUAGUGAAGAACAUAUGUGUAAGUAACUGUGCACAUCUUGACGGUACCUAAUCAGAAAGCCCCGGCUAACUACGUG
rnacentral:rRNA from 1 species